UACGUAGGGCGCAGGCGUUAUCCGGAAUUAUUGGGCGUAAAGAGCUCGUAGGCGGUUUGUCGCGUCUGCUGUGAAAACUGGAGGCUCAACCUCCAGCCUGCAGUGGGUACGGGCAGACUAGAGUGCGGUAGGGGAGAUUGGAAUUCCUGGUGUAGCGGUGGAAUGCGCAGAUAUCAGGAGGAACACCGAUGGCGAAGGCAGAUCUCUGGGCCGUAACUGACGCUGAGGAGCGAAAGCAUGGGGAGCAAACAGG
rnacentral:rRNA from 1 species